rnacentral:rRNA from 1 species
GACGAACGCUGGCGGCAUGCCUAAUACAUGCAAGUCGAGCGAACAGAUGAAGUGCUUGCACUUCUGACGUUAGCGGCGAACGGGUGAGUAACACGUAAGGAAUCUACCUAUAAGCGGGGGAUAACAUUCGGAAACGGGUGCUAAUACCGCAUAAUAUCUUCUUCCGCAUGGAAGAAGAUUGAAAGACGGCUCUGCUGUCACUUAUAGAUGACCUUGCGGUGCAUUAGUUAGUUGGUGGGGUAAUGGCCUACCAAGACGAUGAUGCAUAGCCGACCUGAGAGGGUGAGCGGCCACAUGUGGACUGAGACACGGCCCAAACUCCGACGGGAGGCAGCAGUAGGGAAUCUUCCGCAAUGGGCGAAAGCCUGACGGAGCAAUGCCGCGUGAGUGAAGAAGGCCUUCGGGUCGUAAAACUCUGUUAUAAGAGAAGAACAAAUUGUAGAGUAACUGCUACAGCCUUGACGGUAUCUUAUCAGAAAGCCACGGCUAACUACGUGCCAGCAGCCGCGGUAA